UACAGAGGUCUCAAGCGUUGUUCGGAUUCAUUGGGCGUAAAGGGCGCGUAGGCGGCCUGAUAAGUCAAAGGUGAAAUCCCUCGGCUCAACUGAGGAAUUGCCUUUGAAACUGUCAGGCUUGAGGCCGGGAGGGGGUGGCGGAAUUCCCAGUGUAGCGGUGAAAUGCGUAGAUAUCGGGAGGAACACCAGUGGCGAAGGCGGCUUCCUGGACCGGUUCUGACACUGAGGAGCGAAAGCGUGGGGAGCGAUCCGG
rnacentral:rRNA from 1 species